rnacentral:rRNA from 1 species
AUGUCGCGCUUCGGGAAGGCCGUCCUCCUCUGCUUGGCCCUGUUCACCGCAUGGCACCUCUGCUCGACCCUGUUCGCCGACGCGCCUCCUGCUCCUGGUGGCGACCCUGCGGAGGAGGCACCGGUAGCGAGCGACGCGGCCGGGAAAGCGUCCGGCCUGCCUCUCGCCAGGGAGGCCGGCGUCCGGGAGGCGGCCGGAGCGGAGCGCAACUUCGUCAUCUCGCCGCUGUCCAUCCACGCGGCGCUCGCGAUGGUGACCGCCGGCGCUCGAGGCGACACGCGCAGGGAGCUCCUGGGUUUCCUCGGGUCAGCGUCGCUCGACGAGCUGCACCGCUCGCCGGCGAUCAAGCUUGUGGGCAGGCUCAACGGCCUGACGCAGACGUCCUUCGCCUGCGGCGUGUGGGUCGACCAGAGGCGGGCGCUCAGGCCAGAGUUCACGGCCACCGGCGCGUCGCGGUACGCCGCCACGGCAGAAUCUGUGGACUUUGUGUCGGGGGCCGAGCUGGCAAGGCGGCGCGUGAACGCCUUUGUGGCGGACGCGACGAACCAGCGCAUCCAUGACAUACUCCCUCCCGGCUCCGUCCACUCGUCCACGGAGGUCGUCCUCGCCAACGCGCUCUACUUCAAAGGAGCGUGGCGUCGACCGUUCGACGUCUUCACCGCGCCGUUCCACAUCCCAGGCGGCACCACCGUGCGCGUGCCAUCCCUGACGACAGGCCGGUCACAGUACAUUGCUCUCUACCCGGGCUUCAGGGCCCUCAAGCUGCCCUACAGGACCGACGGCGAUCGGCAAGCUGCUGCAUUCUACAUGCUUAUCCUUCUCCCGGACAGCGGCAUUCUCAGCCUCACGGAUCUCUAUGACAAGGCGGUGUCGAUGCCAGAGUUCAUAAGGAAGCACACGCCGGAAGAGGAAGUUCCAGUGGGACAGUUCAUGGUGCCCAAGUUCAAGUUCACCUCUAAGUAUGAGGCGUCGUCAGACAUGCAGAAGCUUGGUGUCACCACGGCUUUCAAAGGGGGCGACUUCUCAGGCAUGGUGAGCGGUGGGGAUGGGCGGCUCUCCAUCGGCCGGGUGCUCCAUAAGGCCACCAUCGAGGUGGACGAGCUAGGCACUGUGGCCGCUGCUGCCACGGCCAUAGUCAUGUAUGGUAGCGCGCUUCGCAGCGAACCACCGCAUCUGGUGGAUUUUGUGGCGGAUCGGCCCUUCUUAUUUGCCGUGGUCGAGGAGAGGACGGGCACAACGCUGUUCCUUGGUCAUGUGGUUAAUCCUCUCGC